CUUCUUUUUCUUCUCUGGAACUGCCUCCAUGGUUCCAGCCGGAAAAGAAUGAUGUUUGUAUUCUUAAGGAAGUAGAUCCUAGAUCACAGGCCUAGAUCUCAAAGUCAUUUUCAUUGACAGCAGGAGCGGCAGAAGGACACAGAACACUCCGUGGCUGGAAAUAGCACGUUUGGCCCGCUUUUUGGAUGUUGGGAGGAGGAGGAUGCUACACACGGAGACCACAGAGUCAGUGAGCUUUGAGGAUGUGGCUGUGAAGUUCACACAGGAGGAGUGGGCUGUGCUGGAUCCAUCCCAGAAGAAGCUGUACAAAGAUGUGAUGCAGGAAACCCUGAAGAACCUGGCUUCCAUAGGAAAGAAGUCCAACAAACAGAAGGCUAUAAAUGAGUAUGAAAAUCUCUGGAGAAAACUCAGAUUCAUAGAAGAAGUCACACUGGAGAGAAACCCAGUGUGUGUAAGCAAUGUGGGAAAGCCUUCACUGCUUCUCAGUACCUUCAUAUACACGAACAAAUUCAUACUGGAAAAAAAAAGUUACGUAGAGCUAAGAAAGGAAUCGCUCUGGAGAGAAGCCCUAUGCGAGUUUGCAAUGUGGGAAAGCUUUCAGUUCGGACAGCUCUCUUCAGCAACAUAAAAUAACUCACACUACAGCAAAUUCCUGUGGACGCAAGCAAUGUGGGAAAAGCAAAAGCCUUUGAUCGAUUUUUGGAAGUCUCAAGUACAUGAAAGAGUCCACACCAGCGAAAGACCCUAUGAAUGAGAGGCUGUUUGAGGUCAUCUUCUUUGCAAAGACAUGAACUAAUUCAUAGAAACACAUAAGGAUUCUUGUAAGUAAUGUUGGAAUGUAUUCUCUUUGUUACCUCUGAGAAAUCAAACCACAUGGGCAUGAAACAGACUGCUAGCAGUGUGGGAAAUGUUGAACAAAGCUUAAUAGAGAGAAGCUUUGUUUGUUUGUUUAAUUGAUGUAACUUUUAGAACUAGAAGCAGACACACUGGAGAAAAGCCCUUUGGAGAAAAGCUGCUAGCAAUAUGAUGAAGUCUUCCACCUUCUUUUUUUAUCAUGGAGAAGAUAUGGAAGAUCUCACAUUGAAGAGAAGCCACCACAAUGUGCACAUUAUGGGGAAAGCCUUUAGUUCUCCUGGGGCCCUCCAAAGACAUUGUGGUAGUCCUUCUGGAGGGAAACUCAAUGUAUAUAAAUAAAAAAAAA
rnacentral:lncRNA from 1 species